AGACCCCUUUCCUCUACCCAGAGGAGAAUUGUCGGUUGUGCACGGUAGUGCACUCUGAUUAAAAGCAGUAGGUUUAUGUGGUCAGGCUAGUGGCCUGGGACAUUGUGUGCUAGAGACACGGUUCAUCCGACAGUCUUCCUCACAGUGCGUCCCGGGUCUUACAAGCUGGUCAGGCCAUGGCCUCUUCAGUACUCACGUACAACCCCAAAC
rnacentral:misc_RNA from 1 species